rnacentral:rRNA from 1 species
AUGGGGCCGUGGGCCGCUGGGCUGCGCGCCUGGGGGCUGCUGGUGGAGGCCGGCGCUCGCCUAGGUCGAGUGCGGAGUGCCGCUCCAGUUCAUACUUCGGCGCUGCGGCAUGCGGUAGGGAUGCAGAAGGAACACCUCGCCUUUGGUGGGCAAGCACACCACGAGGUCCUUGUUGGGAUGAGAGGGAUGACUAGAAUGCUCAGAGAAACAUCUUUACUUGACCCAGAUCUUUCAUUGCUUGUCUUCAGUCACCUAAAUAAGUUCAAGAAAAAUCUUUCUAAAAUUCCUAGAGCGUCAGUGCAACUACAUAUCAGGGUAUACUAUGUUGAUUCUAUAAUUUUCCAUAUGCUUAAUAAAAAUAUGUUUUAUGCAUUGCUUCUUGGCCCAGCUGAGAGAACCCUCAUGUUAAAAAGUAGGAAGCAGUUUUGA